UGGGGAAUUUUGGACAAUGGGCGCAAGCCUGAUCCAGCAAUGCCGCGUGCAGGAUGAAGGCCUUCGGGUUGUAAACUGCUUUUGUACGGAACGAAAAGCCCUGGGUUAAUACCCUGGGGUCAUGACGGUACCGUAAGAAUAAGCACCGGCUAACUACGUGCCAGCAGCCGCGGUAAUACGUAGGGUGCAAGCGUUAAUCGGAAUUACUGGGCGUAAAGCGUGCGCAGGCGGUUUUGUAAGACAGAGGUGAAAUCCCCGGGCUCAACCUGGGAACUGCCUUUGUGACUGCAAGGCUAGAGUACGGCAGAGGGGGAUGGAAUUCCGCGUGUAGCAGUGAAAUGCGUAGAUAUGCGGAGGAACACCGAUGGCGAAGGCAAUCCCCUGGGCCUGUACUGACGCUCAUGCACGAAAGCGUGGGGAGCAAAACAGGAUUAGAUACCCUGGUAGUCCACGCCCUAAACGAUGUCAACUGGUUGUUGGGUCUUAACUGACUCAGUAACGAAGCUANCGCGUGAAGUUGACCGCCUGGGGAGUACGGCCGCAAGGUUGAAACUCAAAUGAAUUGACGGGGUCAU
rnacentral:rRNA from 1 species